UCUCCGUAGGUGAACCUGCGGAGGGAUCAUUCCAGGCUUGCAAAAGCUCUGAAACCACUGUUUAUCCACCUGAAUCUGCUUCGGCGUGCGGCCCCAGGGCGGGGCCGUAGCCGCUAGGCGCCCGACGAAGACCCCUAAACUCUGUCUUCUUGAGAUUCUCUGAGUAAUUAUAUUAAACAAAAAACAACUUUUAACAACGGAUCUCUUGGCUCUG
rnacentral:misc_RNA from 1 species